AAAAAGCGGCCGUAUUGUCGGAGGACUCCUCCGCCACUUUUCUUUAUUUCCUUCAUACUUUGUCCCCCUGCUCAAACUCCGGUAGUACCCAGAAAACUGCAGCUUGAGCAUUUUUUCUCUCUUUCAAUUUUUACCCGUUGAAGUAAUUUUCUAGUUUUUUUUAGAGAUCAUGUUUUUUUUUGUGUGAUGUUGCUUCACGCAAUUUCUUGACCACUCUUAAUUCUCUAGUCUACACUAGAUUUCAUAUCAUGAAAAUUUUAUAAAAAUACCCCUAUCUUUAUUUUUUUUUAUAGAUUAAGAAUGUGUGGAGCACUGGAGAGCGAGGAUAGGUAAAAGUUUUCUUUGGUGAAGCACUGGUGAGUGGUGAAUCUCCUUCUAUUUUUAUUUAAGGUGAGCUUCAGAUGAAAUAUCAAAAAUAAGAUAUCUUGUGAGAUAUUAAUUUAAGUCAUUCAUUUGGAAUAAAUUGAGAUAUCUCAGUCUAUCUUAUUUAAAAUAAAUAAACGUUCUAAAUUAAUAUCUUACAAGAUAUCUCACUUGAAAUAGAUUAUUAAAUAUGAGAUAAUUAAAUCUCAUUCAUCCAAUAAAAGACCUCAAGAUCAGUAUCAUAAAUCAAUUAAAAAACAAACACAACUGAUGGAUUCUUAACCAAUGGUUAGAUUAUAAAUAUCUCAAAAGAAUCGUUUUCAUUAAAAAUAAUAUAAGGUUAUAUAUGUAUGAUUCUAAAAAUCUACUAUAAAUUUUGUUUGGCUAUGCAUAUGGGGAAGAGAUUGUAGGUGGGCGCAAGCAAGUGAUUGGUGGAACAAUGGUGCCCCUUUGCUUUAUAUGAGCAUGCCCACAGACGGAAUGUUGUGUUUUAAUGC
rnacentral:lncRNA from 1 species